AUGGUCUUCGAGGAUGAGAGCAGCGACGACUUGUCCGGCCUGCGGAUCUCCUCCGACGACGGGAUGCAUUAUCAGAUACCUGCUAGCAUUGAAGACCAAGACUACAAUGGCUUAGAGAAUGCACCAGAGGGGCUCUAUGUGGAGCAUCGGCUGCCAACUAAGCGCCGUGUAGCUUUUCAAUCAUUUGAGACGGGCAGGAGGUUUCUAGUUUGUGCUCAGCCUGAAGCUGUCAAUUGUGGUUUCCUUGCUUGGGUUGACCCGGAGUGGCCUCCCACAAUGCAAAAUGCAUUGUUGAAGCUUUGGGAAAUGUUUGAAGACAGCAGGACUGCUAGGAGGAAGGAUAACCUGAAAAGUUCACUUACUAUCCACCACUUUAAAGAAGAGAAAAGGAAUCUGGAUGCCAACUAUGACAAACUAGUUGAAGAUGUCCAUCAACUUCUCAGUGCCCAGGAGGACAGGGUGUUGGAUUUCAGCUCUCUUCAAGCUAAGGAGAAGAGAGAUGAGAGAGCCAGUGCAUCAGUUGUGGCUGCCAUGAACAAUGAGAUGGAGAAGAAAGAGGCAGAGAACUUCAGGAUGAAAGAGAAGUACAAAGUGCUGAAGAACCUGGUAGAAGCUCAAGGCAGUGUCAUUAGGAACCUGAAGAUGAAUCAUUUGGAAGAGAAGGAAAAGCUAGCUGAAGGAAACGACAAUUUAAAGAUCCAGGCUCCCAGCUUCCAUCGAGCCUCUGGAAGGAGAGGGGACGAAUCGAGGUCGCCGGUGCCCUACCGUGAGAGCCCGAUGGCGUAUGAGCCGGAGAAGCUCUGCUGGUGCAGGCCGCGUAGGAAGGCGCCGAGAUGGAUCUCAUGGAGCCACCAGAACCCAGGCAGGAGGUACUACGCCUGCGUGGAUGCCAUGCAUGGUGGUUGUGGCUUCCUUGAAUGGCAUGAUGAUCCUCUGCCUAAGUUUUUGAGUGAUUUGAUUGGAGAUUUGCAAGAUGAAGUGCGUAGGCUGAGAGGUGAAUCAAGUGUUGGUGUGUUUGAAGAUGACAGUGCAGUUGUGGCUCUGCCUGAAGCUCAAAGAGGAAGAGAGGUGGUGGCUUUGGAAGAUCAGCUCAGGGAGAAAAAUGCAGAGCUAGAUGCACUGAAGGCCAAAUAUCAGAAUGUUGUCUUUCUUUUUCUUAUCUUUGUGACUCAAGCUUGUUUUGGCACUGAAGAUGCAAGUAGUGGUCAGGUUGAUCCUUGAGCACCAGAAGUAGAAGGACUAGAAGAUGAAGCUCAUUCAGCAAAUCUUGGGGCGGUGAAAGGCCUUGCAAAUCUUGCACUUGCACUUGCUGACCCUCUAGCAGUUCUUGAAGCAGAUCUAGCAGUAGCACUUGCACUAGCUGACCCUCUAGCAGUUCUUGAAGCAGAUCCAGCAGAUCUUGCAGUAGAAGAUCUUGCAGAAGAGACCUUGCUGGUGGCUGCUAUGAUCCUGAUAGAGUAUCUUCAUUCCUUGAUCUUGCAGUUGGUGUACCUAUGGCCUUGGAGCCCACAGUUGCUGCAUGUUAUAGUGGCCAUUCUUGAACUGUCCUUGGGUUUUGGAACCUCAAAUUUGCCCUUUAUUCUCUUCUCUUUCCUUCUUCCCUUCUUCACAUGA
rnacentral:rRNA from 1 species